rnacentral:rRNA from 1 species
UACGGAGGGUGCAAGCGCUAUCCGGAUUCACUGGGUUUAAAGGGUGCGUAGGUGGAUUGGUAAGUCAGUGGUGAAAUCUCCGGGCUUAACUCGGAAACUGCCAUUGAUACUAUCAGUCUUGAAUACCGUGGAGGUCAGUAGAAUAUGUCAUGUAGCGGUGAAAUGCUUAGAUAUGACAUAGAAUACCAAUUGCGAAGGCAGCUGGCUACACGAAUAUUGACACUCAGGCACGAAAGCGUGGGGAUCAAACAGG